CCUACGGGGGGCAGCAGUGGGGAAUAUUGGACAAUGGGCGAAAGCCUGAUCCAGCCAUGCCGCGUGUGUGAAGAAGGCCUUCGGGUUGUAAAGCACUUUCAGUGGGGAAGAAAGCCUUGGGGCUAAUACCCUCGAGGAAGGACAUCACCAACAGAAGAAGCACCGGCUAACUCCGUGCCAGCAGCCGCGGUAAUACGGAGGGUGCGAGCGUUAAUCGGAAUUACUGGGCGUAAAGCGCGCGUAGGCGGUCUGAUAAGCCGGUUGUGAAAGCCCCGGGCUCAACCUGGGAACGGCAUCCGGAACUGUCAGGCUAGAGUGCAGGAGAGGAAGGUAGAAUUCCCGGUGUAGAGGUGAAAUGCGUAGAGAUCGGGAGGAAUACCAGUGGCGAAGGCGGCCUUCUGGACUGACACUGACGCUGAGGUGCGAAAGCGUGGGUAGCAAACAGGAUUAGUACCCCAGUAGUC
rnacentral:rRNA from 1 species